GGGUGAGCUCCCGUUGCUCGGUCCCUGCUCCUGCCAACCUAGCAGUUCGAAAACACGUCAAAGUGCAAGUAGAUAAAUAGGUACCACUCCGGCGGGAAGGUAAACGACGUUUCCGUGCGCUGCUCUGGUUCACCAGAAGCGGCUUAGUCAUGCUGGCCACAUGACCCGGAAGCUGUACGCCGGCUCCCUCGGCCAAUAAAGCGAGAUGAGCGCC